UGCGCGGUAGGAGUCAUCAGCCCGAUAGGGCAUUUAGCGGGGGACUCCAUCCCCGUCAACUUU
rnacentral:ncRNA from 1 species